rnacentral:rRNA from 1 species
UACGUAGGGGGCGAGCGUUGUCCGGAAUCAUUGGGCGUAAAGCGCGUGUAGGCGGCUUGAUAAGUCUGGUGUGAAAUCUUGGGGCUCAACCCCAAGCCUGCACUGGAUACUGUCAAGCUUGAGUCCGGGAGGGGAGAGCGGAAUUCCUAGUGUAGCGGUGAAAUGCGCAGAUAUUAGGAAGAACGCCGGUGGCGAAGGCGGCUCUCUGGAACGGUACUGACGCUGAGACGCGAAAGCGUGGGGAGCGAACAGG